GACGAACCGUCCUAACGUUGUUCGGAAUCACUGGGCUUAAAGGGCGCGUAGGCGGCUUGCCAAGUCAGGGGUGAAAUCCUGCAGCUUAACUGUAGAAGGGCCUUUGAUACUGGCGAGCUCGAGGGAGGUAGGGGUAUGUGGAACUUCCGGUGGAGCGGUGAAAUGCGUUGAUAUCGGAAGGAACGCCGGUGGCGAAAGCGACGUACUGGACCCCUUCUGACGCUGAGGCGCGAAAGCUAGGGGAGCAAACGGG
rnacentral:rRNA from 1 species